rnacentral:rRNA from 1 species
GGAGGAUGCGAGCGUUAUCCGGAUUUAUUGGGUUUAAAGGGAGCGUAGACGGUUGUGCAAGUCUGGAGUGAAAGGCGGGGGCUCAACCCCCGGACUGCUUUGGAAACUGUAUAACUGGAGUGCAGGAGAGGUAAGUGGAAUUCCUAGUGUAGCGGUGAAAUGCGUAGAUAUUAGGAGGAACACCAGUGGCGAAGGCGGCUUACUGGACUGUAACUGACGUUGAGGCUCGAAAGCGUGGGGAGCAA